GAAAUGCGAUAAGUAAUGUGAAUUGCAGAAUUCAGUGAAUCAUCGAAUCUUUGAACGCACAUUGCGCCCUUUGGUAUUCCGAAGGGCAUGCCUGUUCGAGCGUCAUUUAAACACUCAAGCCCCGCUUGGUUUUGGGCGCAGGUCCCUCGGGACCCGCCCGUAACUCGUUGGUGGUCGGUACCGGCUCUAAGCGUAGCAAAAACUUUCGCUUGUGACGACGGUGCCUUCCCGCCAGGAAAGCUCACUUCCAAAGUUUGACCUCGGAUCAGGUAGGGAUACCCGCUGAACUUAA
rnacentral:misc_RNA from 1 species